CGCUGAUCGAGGGGGGCCUCGCGAGAUGUCAUCGUUCGUGUCACAUUUUUUAAGUUGGAGUUGGGAAAUGUCGCGAGAGCUCAUCACAAUACCCAAACAACACUGUUUUCAUCAACGGAAAGGAGUAGGGGCCAAAGGUGCUGCCAGCCAAUCAGGUAAGGGACUCAUGAAUAAUGACAUUUACAACCCACAAACAGCCGGGCCAUUAGAGGUGGGUGUGGACACGUGGAAACAACAUUGGCUGAAACUGAAUCACCUUUGUGUGAAAGUGUCACAAAUGUGUUUCAGAGUCAUUUUCUGUAAAUGUCCAAAUAUACUGCAUUGGCUAUUAGUUAGUGAUAUUUCUUGAUAAAGUGAAAGUUGUGGGAUUGUUUGUGGCACAGAAACAUUUUAGAUUCAAUGUCUGGUGAGCCUGAUUAUCCACAGGCAAUGGGCACAUUUUUGAGUUAUGUUACAUGUUAGUGAGGGAGGAGGAUUCAAAAGCAAACAAAUGCACACAUUUGCUUAUCACGUUCGGGGAAAUAAACUUAAUUUCCUACAACUUACCCUAACCAUAACCACUGACCUAAAAAUCUUUAUUUUUUCCGAAUUGGGUUCCAUUUCGGGUAAGCCCUAUUGUCCCUAUUUGGUCUUUAGUCUGAAAUAUGUUCCCAAAGGUAGCCUAAAACAGAUUAUUUACUUGAAUUUUUUUGAAUAAGUGUGCAGCAGAGAUGAUAUAUUUUUGUAGUCCAACCCAGAACUUACCAUCGCUCUAGUUCCUUUAACAAGAACCCGUUGGAUUUUGGACUGUUGCCCAAAAUAAGCUCUGUGGUGAACAAAAGUUUAUGAUACUUAAGGCAUUACUUUAGAUAUUUAAGAUACUACUCAAAAAUGAAAACCCCUUUAUGACUUUUUGAAGUGUAAUUGCGAUCACCAGAAGUGAAAAGCUAAUUUUAGGCUAGAAACGUACUGCACCACUGUUGCAUGAAUUCAUCGGCACUAAUCUCAGGAGCGUUUCCAGACUUUAUUGGGUGGGGUGGCUCUCAAAUAGAGCAGGUCUAGACCGAACUCCUUAUAGCAUUAUUUACAGAGACCCAACAGUACCACCAUGAGCAAGCACUUGGCGACGGGGGCAAGGAAAAACUGCCUGUUAAAAGGCAGAAACCUAGGACAGACCCUUCGGCUCCAGGUGUGUGGUCGUCUGCCUCGACCGGUUGGGAUGAGAGAGAGAGAGAGAGAGAGAGAGAGAACAGACAGACAGACAGACAGACAGACAGACAGACGCACAGCAACAACAGUAGCAACAACUACACUAAUAGUAGUGACUGAUGAUGAUGAACAUGAAGAAGAUGAUGGCGACGACAACAACGAUGGGGGACAAUGACUAGUGAUUACAGUAAUAAUAGUAACCGUAGUAAUAAAAAUAAUAACAAUAAUAUCAGUUAUAUUGGAAUGGCAUUCAAGCAGGACCAUGGCAGGAGAACCUGAGAACCUGUGAGACGAGAAAGCACAAGAACUCCGGGGAAGAAGUGAAGUUAGUAACAUGCAUUAAUGGGACAUGAAUGACUGCAGAAAGAGAGAGAGAGGAAGGAGAGGAGCUCAGUGCAUCAUGGAAAAUCCCCCGAUAGUCUAGGCCUAUAGCAGCAUAACUAGGGGAUGGUUCACGACUCACCUGAGCCAGCCCUAACUAUAAGCUUUAUCAAAGAGGAAUGUCUUAAGCCUGUCUGCCUCCCGAACCAAAACUGGAAGCUGGUUCCACAGGAGAGGAGCUUGGUAACUGAAGGCUCUGGCUCCUGUUCUACUUUUAGAGAAUAUAGGAACCACAAGUAGCCCUGCAUUCAGAGAAUGCAGUGUUCUAGAGGGGUAAUAGGGUGCUAUGAGCUCUUUAAGAUAUGAAGGGGCCUGACCAUGAAGAGCUUUUUAGGUGAGGAGGACGAUUUUAAAUUCUGUUCUAAAUUUUACAGGGAGCCAGUGCAGGAAGCUAGUACAGGAGAGAUGUGAUUUAUUUUCCUAGUUCCUGUCAGUACUCGUGCUGCAGUGUUCUGAAUUAAUUGGAGUGUUUUAAUGGACUUAUUGGGGCAACCUGAUAAUAAGGAAUUGCAGUAAUCCUGCCUAGAAGUAACAAAUGCAUGGAUUAGUUUUUCUGCAUCCGUCUGUGACAGGAUGUGUCUAAUUUUUGUAAUAUUACGUAAAUGAAAAAAGGCAGUCCUAGAGUUUAACAUCAGAAAAUUGCAGCUCAUCCAGGAUUUUAUGUCCUUAAGACAUGUUUGUAAUUUAGAUAAUUGAUUAAUUCCAUUGUGCUUGAUCGAUAGAUAUAACUGUGUAUCAUCUGCAUAGCAAUGAAAGUUAAUGGAGUGAUUCCUAAUAAUGUUGCCUAAGGGAAGCAUAUACUGUAUAAAGUGAAUAGUAUUGGACCAAGUACAGAACCUUGUGGAACUCCAUGACUAACUGUAGUAAUUAUGGAAGAUUCAUCGCUAACAUGUACAAACUGAGAACGAUCUGAUAAGUAUAACCUAAACCAGCUUAGUGCGGUUCCUUUAAUGCCAAUUUGAUGCUGAAGUCUCUGUAAAAGAAUAUCAUGGUCAAUGGUGUCAAAUGCAGCACUAAGAUCUAAUAAUACAAGUACAUAUUGUCGGAAGCAAUCAAAAGGUCAUUAUUAAAGGGGAACUUGGCAACUAUUUCAACUUAAUAAACCCAUUUAGAAAUCAUUUGGAUGGUUAAAUGGCCUGUUCCGGUGAAAAUGGUGACUUUCCCCACUCCCCAGGCGGAAAACCAACCUUGCAACUUUGGGACUACCAUUCCGUUAAGUUGGAAAUAGGAAGUAUCGUGAGAAGCGAGAACGAGUGAGAAACACAAACUGCUUUGCGGCAAUUCCACAUAAACGCACACGCCCCCCUCAAUACCGGUUAGCCACGCCAGCUAUAAGAAUAAGCGACGAUGAAUGUAUUACCCACCUCGGUAGACAUUGCCCCACACGAAAAAGUUGCCCGGCAACAAAUGCACAUCAGCAGCGGUAGAAAGGGGGAGGAGGGUGCCGCAAGUGAGUUUUUUUACGACAGUGUUUUGAAAUAUACGUCCCAGAGCUGUAGGGGGAGCUCGUUGAUUGAUGAACUCUAAAUCCUGACUGAAAAUCCUCAAAUAAGCUAUUGUUAUGUAGAAAGUCACAAAACUGUUUGGCGACUACUUUCUCCAGAAUCUUAGAGAGGAAGGGGAGGUUAGAAAUCGGUAGUUGCCUAUGCCCCUGGGGCAAGGUGGUCUUUUUAGGAGGGGUUUAAUUACAAUUUUGGACCCCAGUAUGCUAAACAAAAAAUAAUAUAUUUAUACCACAUGCAAAAAACUGCAUGGGAUUGGCAAAAAGUGUGUGUGUCUGCAAAGGGGAGACUCGUGGGUACCUGUAGAAUCCAUUUUCAUUAAUUUAUCUUGAAGUCAGAGGUCAAAGUGUGCCUUUUUUUGCCUAACUUUGGAGGAUUAUUUAGCAUCCUCCCCGACAUGCUAGCAUACCAGUUAAGAUACCUGUAUCUUCAAUAGCUUUAACAGGGAGCCUGCUACAGACUCUGAAAGAGUCUGUGUGGAAUAGGAAAGGACAAUGGGGUGGCACAUGGAUGGGCAAUGGAG